CCAUUUAACAGUGAUGUGUUUAUGAUAUAUAUUUGAGACAUUAUAUGGCGGNNGCGGGUUUAUUCUCGUAGCUGUUUCUGUAUAGUGCUCCACUGUUUUAUGAUAUAUAGUUUAUAGCCGGAGGCGUGCACUUCUCCCCUUGUAGGANGUCGUNACCCAUUGGAUUAUGUUGUCUAAGGCUUAUAAUGGAGACCGUGGCAUUAAGUUUCGGCUUUAAUGACCCGGACUUAUAAUGUCCCGACAUCUAUCCGAUGGUAUAAUUAUGAUGAUAGAUCGCUAUAAAUGUGAUAUGAGCGUUCAGAUCCAUAACAAAUUCUUAUUNUGAGANAUAGUGGAAAUCGGAUUUAAUGCCGAUUCUACACAUAUGGUAUUGAUAGUUGUGGUAUUCUCGAACCGUUCUUUAUCAUCAGUCAACGGCGUUUAUGUUUUGGGUAAUUACAGGACCCGUCUUGAAACACGGACCAA
rnacentral:rRNA from 1 species